rnacentral:rRNA from 1 species
UGCAGUCGACGAUGACGGCCGUGCUUGCACGGUCUGAUUAGUGGCGAACGGGUGAGUAACACGUGAGUAACCUGCCCUCCACUUCGGGAUAACCUCGGGAAAUCGUGGCUAAUACCGGAUAUGAGCACUCAUCGCAUGGUGGGUGUUGGAAAGAUUUAUCGGUGGGGGAUGGACUCGCGGCCUAUCAGUUUGUUGGUGAGGUGAUGGCUCACCAAGACGAUGACGGGUAGCCGGCCUGAGAGGGCGACCGGCCACACUGGGACUGAGACACGGCCCAGACUCCUACGGGAGGCAGCAGUGGGGAAUAUUGCACAAUGGGCGAAAGCCUGAUGCAGCGACGCCGCGUGAGGGAUGACGGCCUUCGGGUUGUAAACCUCUUUCAGUAGGGAAGAAGCGAGAGUGACGGUACCUGCAGAAGAAGCGCCGGCUAACUACGUGCCAGCAGCCGCGGUAAUACGUAGGGCGCAAGCGUUGUCCGGAAUUAUUGGGCGUAAAGAGCUUGUAGGUGGCUUGUCGCGUCUGCCGUGAAAACCCGAGGCUCAACCUCGGGCGUGCGGUGGGUACGGGCAGGCUAGAGUGUGGUAGGGGAGACCGGAACUCCUGGUGUAGCGGUGAAAUGCGCAGAUAUCAG